rnacentral:rRNA from 1 species
UCUUCGGCAAUGGACGCAAGUCUGACCGAGCAACGCCGCGUGAGUGAAGAAGGUUUUCGGAUCGUAAAACUCUGUUGUAAGACAAGCCCCGUUGAUGAGAGUGGAAAGUUCAUCAAGUGACGGUAUCUUACCAGAAAGCCACGGCUAACUACGUGCCACCAGCCGCGGUAAUACGUAGGUGGCAAGCGUUGUCCGGAUUUAUUGGGCGUAAAGCGAGCGCAGGCGGUUGAUUAAGUUUGAUGUGAAAGCCCCCGGCUCAACCGGGGAGGGUCAUUGGAAACUGGUCAACUUGAGUGCAGAAGAGGAGAGUGGAAUUCCAUGUGUAGCGGUGAAAUGGGUAGAUAUAUGGAGGAACACCAGUGGCGAAGGCGGCUCUCUGUCUGUAACUGACGCUGAGGCCGAA